GACGAACGCUGGCGGCGUGCUUAACACAUGCAAGUCGAACGGUGAAGCCCCAGCUUGCUGGAGUGGAUCAGUAGCGAACGAGUGAGUAACACGUAAGCAACCUGCCCCUUACUCUGGACUAAGCGCUGGAAACGGCGACUCCUAAUGGAUACGCGAAGGGCCCGCAUGGGCACUUUAUGCAUCGUCUGUGGGGUGGGGAUGGGCUCGCGGUCUGUCAGCUUGUUGGUGAGUUAAUGGCUCACCAAGUCGACGACGGUUGGCCGGCCUGAGAGGGCGACCGGCCACACUGGGACGGAGACACGGCCCAGACUCCUACGGGAGGCAGCGGUGGGGAAUAUUGCACAAUGGGCGAAAGCCUGAGGCAGCAACGCCGCGUGAGGGAUGACGGCCUUCGGGUUGUAAACCUCUUUCGGCAGGGAGGAAGCGAAAGUGACGGUACCUGCAGAAGAAGCACCGGCUAACUACGUG
rnacentral:rRNA from 1 species